GCGCUUGUAGUUCAAUUGGAUAGAGCGCCGGAUUGCGGAUCCGGAGAGUGGGGGUUCGAGUCCCCCCAAGCGCACCA
rnacentral:tRNA from 1 species